CAAACCUGUGGGCAUGAGAUGGAAAGACUGGUUUAAAGGUGAGAACUAAUAGACUUGAAUCUCUAUGUUAAAUCUGAGGAAGAGUGUCCAAAGAAGAGCAAUGAAGCUGGUUAAAGGUCCUGAGAACAACUCUGGUGAGGAGCAGAAACCAGAGAGGUGCAGCCGGGCGGGCAGAAGGAGACCAAGCGGAGCUCUGAGUCAGGAACUCCCCCCAGCACGCAGCGGGACUUACCAUGCCGGGCAGUGCGAGGUCUGAGAGCGGCGGAUGCUCAAGGGGGUGGCAGCGCUGGGUGACCCGAGGCCGGACCCCAGGAUGCCGCCCACACCCACGGCACCGGAGAAGCGGCUCCGCCCGCGGGCUGAGUGGCUCCGGAGCGAGGAGCGCGGGGCGCGGAGCAUCCCGGCGAGGCUCAGGCUCCAGAACAUCCCUGACCUGCCCUGCCCUGCAGAACCUAGCGCAGUCCGUCCGCAUGCCCUGUUCGGGCGGUAAUCCCGCCUCUCCGGUCCAGCGGCAGCUCGGCCGGUCCCGGGCUACAGCCCAGGCUGCCUCCAAGCUUAACCACUUUAAACAGCUCGUCUGCAUCGUGAGCACCGGGUCCAGUAACUCUUCUAAUCUAAUCUAAUCUAAUCUAAUCUAAUCUAAUCUAAUCUAAUCUAAUCUAAUCUAGCAAUCUGAUCUAAUUGCCUUUUUCCGUGUAGUCUUCUGUAGUAAAAUUCUAAGUGUUCACCAGGCAAACUGAAACGUAAACUCAUAAAGCUACUCACAAAGCGUUUAUCUGAAACUAUGUUGUCCAUGGAUUGCUAACACCUGUCAUAUGCUAUACUCUGUGCUUGUGCAACAUUCCCUUUUUGAGGGAUCUGGUUGCAUAGCCAUCCGGAUUGCCAAUACAUAUUUGUCAUGAUUAAAAGUGAGCCAAAUUUUACAGGUCAUUGUGAAGUAAAAGAUACAUUAAAAUGAAAGGAAAUACAUUGUUAA